rnacentral:ncRNA from 1 species
CAAAAGCUUGGUCCCGACUUUACUGUCAGCUUUAGCCCAACUUAAAAAUGCCCUUAUCCCUCUACCCGAGAACAAGGAGCCGGCAUCAGGCACAUUUUUUAGCCCAAGACGCCUUGCUAUGCCACACCCCCAAGGGAACUCAGCAGUAAUAAACAUUAAGCCAUAAGUGAAAACUUGACUUAAUUACGGCUAACUUGGGUUGGUAAAACGCGUGCCAGCAACCGCGGUUACACGAGAGACCCUAGUUGAUAGACACGGCGUAAAGAGUGGUUAGGGUUAUCAAUAAUAAAGUUAAACCUCCUCCAAACUGUUAUAUGCUACUUCGAAAGUAUGAAAUCCUAUUACGAAAGUAACUUUAAUUUUCCCGACCCCACGAAAGCUAGGACACAAACUGGGAUUAGAUACCCCACUAUGCUUAGCCUUAAACUCAGAUGUAGUCAAUACAAAAAACAUCCGCCAGGGUACUACGAGCGCCAGCUUAAAACCCAAAGGACUUGACGGUGUCUCAGACCCACCUAGAGGAGCCUGUUCUAGAACCGAUGAUCCUCGUUCAACCUCACCACCUCUUGCCUUAUCAGCCUAUAUACCGCCGUCGCAAGCUUACCCUGUGAAGGAUUAACAGUAAGCAAAAUGAAUUACCCUCAAAACGUCAGGUCGAGGUGUAGCUAAUGAGGUGGGAAGAAAUGGGCUACAUUUUCUACUAUAGAAUAAACGAACGGAGUAAUGAAAUUAACUCCAGAAGGUGGAUUUAGUUGUAAAAAUUAAGCAGAGUGUUACUUUGAAUUAGGCUCUGAGAUGCGUACACACCGCCCGUCGCCCUCCCCAACAACUUCUAAUCAAGUAAUUAACCACAAAUCUUUAUAAAAGGGGAGAUAAGUCGUAACAUGGUAAGUGUAC